rnacentral:rRNA from 1 species
GACAGAGGGUGCAAACGUUGUUCGGAUUUACUGGGCGUAAAGCGUGUGUAGGCGGCUUUGCAAGUUGGAUGUGAAAUCCCACGGCUCAACCGUGGAAGUGCAUCCGAAACGGCAUCGCUUGAGUCUCGGAGAGGAAGGUGGAAUGCUUGGUGUAGAGGUGAAAUUCGUAGAUAUCAAGCAGAACACCUGCGGCGAAGGCGGCCUUCUGGACGAUGACUGACGCUGAGACACGAAAGCGUGGGGAGCAAACAGG